UAAUUGAGCAGUCAGUGUACAGCGGUCAGUCGACCCAGCCAGACGUUAAUCGAUUGCUUUGACCGUUGAAUAAUACAUGCGUUACACCGAAAACAUCUGCAAGUGGAAGCUCGCUGCCGAUUACUGAUACCUACGAUACGCCAAAAUGAGGAUCAACGUCCUGACAACUUUUCUUUUCACUGGGAUUUUGUGCCUGACCCUCGGACAAAGAAAUGAUUCAACGGCGAGUAUCGUAUAUAGAAAUGCACUACAGGUCGUGAGAGAUGUGGUUAUGAUGGUGACUAAUGAAAGCAUGAUCAAAGACCUGGGACUGAUCAAAAACUUCACGAAGGAAGCGUGCUCAACGAAUGGUCAAACCUGGAAGGAAGAAGAAGCAACGAGCAGCCUAGAAAACGCCACAAAAUGUAUCAACGAUGUAUUGAAGUCGAAUAUGAAAACCGCCCGCGAAAC